GACAGAGGGUGCAAACGUUGUUCGGAAUUACUGGGCGUAAAGCGCGUGUAGGCGGCUUGGCAAGUCGGGUGUGAAAGCCCUGGGCUCAACCCAGGAAGUGCACUCGAAACUGCUUCGCUCGAGUAUCGGAGAGGAAAGCGGAAUUCUCGGUGUAGAGGUGAAAUUCGUAGAUAUCGAGAGGAACACCGGUGGCGAAGGCGGCUUUCUGGACGAUUACUGACGCUGAGACGCGAAAGCGUGGGGAGCGAACAGG
rnacentral:rRNA from 1 species